rnacentral:rRNA from 1 species
UGGGGAAUAUUGCACAAUGGGCGCAAGCCUGAUGCAGCCAUGCCGCGUGUGUGAAGAAGGCCUUCGGGUUGUAAAGCACUUUCAGCGGGGAGGAAGGCGAUAAGGUUAAUAACCUUGUCGAUUGACGUUACCCGCAGAAGAAGCACCGGCUAACUCCGUGCCAGCAGCCGCGGUAAUACGGAGGGUGCAAGCGUUAAUCGGAAUUACUGGGCGUAAAGCGCACGCAGGCGGUCUGUCAAGUCGGAUGUGAAAUCCCCGGGCUCAACCUGGGAACUGCAUUCGAAACUGGCAGGCUAGAGUCUUGUAGAGGGGGGUAGAAUUCCAGGUGUAGCGGUGAAAUGCGUAGAGAUCUGGAGGAAUACCGGUGGCGAAGGCGGCCCCAUGGACAAAGACUGACGCUCAGGUGCGAAAGCGUGGGGAGCAAACAGG